rnacentral:rRNA from 1 species
GGCGACGAUCGGUAGCUGUUCUGAGAGGAAGAUCAGCCACACUGGGACUGAGACACGGCCCAGACUCCUACGGGAGGCAGCAGUUGGGAAUCUUGGACAAUGGGGGAAACCCUGAUCCAGCCAUGCCGCGUGAGUGAUGAAGGCCUUAGGGUUGUAAAGCUCUUUUACCCGGGAAGAUAAUGACUGUACCGGGAGAAUAAGCUCCGGCUAACUUCGUGCCAGCAGCCGCGGUAAUACGAAGGGGGCUAGCGUUGUUCGGAAUUACUGGGCGUAAAGCGCGCGCAGGCGGUUU